CUUCCCCCUCGUCUCCUCCUCUCCCACUCGCGCCGCUCCCUAUCCUCUUCCUCCCGCCCCGCCUCUCUCUCCCCCUCCAAACCCUAGGCUGCGCCCGCCUCGCUGCCCCGCCGCCGGCCGCCGCCGCUCGCCCGGGUACCCAUCCAUGACCUCACGUCGCCCUCUCCUCUUCCUUCUCGGCCUGUUCGCGCUCACAGAGGCCAAUGCGGGCGCGCUGCUCUGGGUGGCGCGCCGCCUCCGCCGCCGGUAGAAGGUGGCCGCGGCGGCCGCCGCGCAGCCCGGCGAGCAACCGUUCCCCUACGAGAAGAAGGUGAGGAGGACACGCCCCUCCGUCAAGAGAUGGCCAAGGCGGCCGCACUGCUCUGGGUGGAGGGUCGCCUCCGCCGCCGGCAGGAUUGGGCCGCGGCGGCCGUCGCGCAGCCCGGCGACCAAGAGCUCCCCGGCGAGCAGCCAUUCCCCUACGAGAAGAAGGUGAGGAGGACACGUACCUCCGUCAAGAGAUGCUCGCGCGCCGGGAGAAUACGUGGAGAUCGAGGGACGUCUGCUCCUGCUCGACCGAUUCCAGAUCGAGGGACGCCUGAUUCUGCUCGCUACGGACGCCGCCCCAUGGCCACAUAGGUCAUGUCUCCUUCCUUCGCCUGCAAAACAUGCCAGGAAAGUCACGAACUUAUUCACCUUCCAUUUUCUUAGUCAUUUUGGGUGCAGAUGUAGUAGUGCAUAACAUCUCAAUACAGUAAUCUCCUUAGGCUGUAGAUGGAAAGGUUACUUUCCUCGAUGAACUCGUGUGGUAUGUGGUGGAAAUAGAUCUGCAGAUGGAAAUGAUUCUAUUUUUCUUGAGGGAUGAAGCAGCAAGUCCCACCUAUUUUUCCAGUGUACAUUCAGUACAACUUGUUGGGAUGUCUUGCAUAUACAGUGGAACACCUCUCUGUGCAUUUAAUAAAUGAUUGUACAAUCUGGUAGAGCAUGGAACCAAACUCUCUUCAAGGAAGUGGUUAUUCGAAUCUAUGGAAACUAAGGAACAAACACUGGUUUGAUAAAGAUAGACCCACAAUCAUUAGGUGGAAAAAGGGGCUGCUGGCUGAUUUCGAAAUCCUGAAAUACAGGAUCAAGACUGAAGACACAAGCACACUAGAGGCUUUGAUUACCUCCCUCCACACCUAGACUACUCCUUGUAACCUCCCCUGUUGUAGUUUGCUCUGUUUUCCUUUUCUUUCCUCGGCCUUUUUUUAGGGCCCAAAAUUUCCAUUACCAUGGAAAUAUGUAAAUAACUCUGUAAAAAACAUCUUUUCUUUAAUACAUAACAGUGGGAGUCUCUCCUGCUGUUUUCAUUGCUAAAAAAACGUUCAGGUAAUUGAAGUACCUAGGGUAUAUCCCACCCCCCUUUUCUGCCUCCAAGCAGACAACAUCUCACUAAUAAAACACUGUGUUCUUCGCGCAACCACGAGAUGAUGAAAUGGUUACUGAUUUGAUGUGUCAAAUUCACUUGCAGGUAAAUACAUGUUGUCUGAUCCAAAUAAGAUGACUGAUGCGAACGAAGAUGGCUCUCAAAACACCAGGAAUAAUAUGUUGCCACUUGCCACCACUUCAGAGGAAAACAGGAGGUUCUGGUUCUAUUGCUGCUCUUAAGGAACCUAUAAAUACAUGUUGUCUGAUCCAAAAUAGAUGACUGAUGCGAACGAAGAUGGCUCUCAAAACACCAGGAAUAAUAUGUUGCCACUUGCCACCACUUCAGAGGAAAACAGGAGGUUCUGGUUCUAUUGCUGCUCUUAAGGAACCUGUUGGUCCACUGUCUACGGGUGCUCGUGGUUCUGGUUAGUUUGUCCAGCUAUGUCUUCGGCACCGCUCUACAGGUCGACCCUUUCUCUCCUUCUAUUCUCAGCUCUCGAGGCACGUGCUUGUGUUCUUGCAUCCAUAUAUCUUCCGUGUGCAUUUAUUGGUAGAAGCCUGGCAUCUAAAAGUAUCAUUGUUUGCUUGUAUUUUUGUGGGACCUAAUUUUUUUGGUGGAACUGCUCGCAUGUGCCAUGUUGUUGGAGCUACGGGACAAGCCAAUGUAGUUCCAGAUGUGAUUUAUAAAGAUUAUUCGAUGGAUUGUAGUUGUAGCAGUUUGCUGACGGCAAGAUGCAUUUGUAUGAGAUGCCAUGUGCUCCUGGUUGUCUGCAUGCCUUUUUCUAGGUAUAUUGGCAGGGUAUGUUCAUUCUUCCUGAUCAGCAAAGCAUCGAUCACUCUAAAUUUGAGUUAGCUAGAUGAUUAGUGAAGUAUAUAACUAAAUGUAGACAUAUUGAGGGGGUCAUUAGAGGCGCCGAAGCAUGAUGAAGUUUGAGAUCUAUCAUCUAUGGUGAAAAAUGAGAAUCGAUGCAUUAUUUCUGAAAAUGACAAUUGGGACCUGUGUGUGGCUUCUGCGUGUUUAGUUGGUCUAGGUUACAUUUGGCUUUUCAAUUAGGAUUUGGUGUAAUGGAUGGGUGGCAUGUGAGUAGUAUAUCCCCCUGCAGGAUUUUUGUUAUAUAUACCCUGGACCAGUAUUCAGCUAAGCAAGAGUAAACAGAGGAGGAAUAGCAACAUAGCUACUACUACUAGAUCAACAUCUGCUAUAUAUACCCUAUUUUUUCAACCUUCUAUUUGAUUUCAUCUUCCAGUUUGUUGGUGACUUUCAGUCUCUGAGCACCUCUGGAGCCUGCUGGAUACUGCUCUUGCUGUUUUGUUCGCAAGAUACUACGAAUUCUUUAUGAGAGGAUGCUUCUGCUGGAGACCUGGAUCCAGUCCAAUGAUUUAUCCGACAAGGAGGAGAAGCAUUGUUGGGUUCCUCACUGUCACCAAGGGGAUGCAACCUACAUCAAUCGUGCAGAGAGCCACUGAUGUGUCCGUGCCCAUGUGCUUCACCGAGCUUCAGGAAAAAUAAUCUAUUUCUCGGAUUAGUCCAUGCUUACAAGUGAAGAAUAUGUGCUUUGAUAGGAUCUGUAGCUACCGACAUUACAUCGUUUGCUGAUAGCUGUGGCAUGUCAUUACAAUUGUGACAAGGCAGACUUCUAUGUUCUACUUAGCAUAGACUAUUUCAUCGCAUGCCCUUUGACUUUGGACUCAUAUAACAUAAUAAUUCAACCUUGAUCUUGCUAGACCUGUCAAUGUAAUGAUAAACUACGUCCUGCUCUUGGUAUGUCCCUUUGUUAGAUGUAAACCUCCCUGCACCUCAAACAAAUAUAUGGAAACAUGCAUUGUUAACAUAUUGUUCUCCUUGUGAACACACUGAAAUCAAUUCCGACUUAUGAUCUCACGCCAAUAUUUAGCAGCA